CGGGCGUUCGCCGCCCGUGACGUCGCGAGAAGUCCACUGAACCUUAUCAUUUAGAGGAGGAGAAGUCGUAACAAGGUUUCCGUAGGUGAACCUGCGGAAGGACAUUG
rnacentral:rRNA from 1 species